UUUCAAGAUCAUAAUUUUGAAAUUUAUGAAUGGAAUUCGAUUAUAUCAACAUUCUAUAAUUGCAUGCAUGCAAUUAUGCACACUUUUUUACUAUCUAACUAGGAAUUGAUGAGCUAUAGGACCCUUAUCGUUAUUGGAAGGUUCAGAUUAAUUUAUUAAACUGUUGACGCUAAUAAACUGGUUCAGCAGUAUGUGUACAAAUAUAAAAUAUAUGUUUUGUCGUAUUUGGGUCAAUAGCACCAAAAUAAACACGCAGGGAUGACAUUGACUUUAGUAUCAUGCAUCAUAAUGGUAAUGCAUCCAUCAGACAGCUUAAAUAAUCUACUGAUUAGAAUCUUCAUAGCGUACGAUGAAUUACUUACAUUGUGUGGUCUAAAUUAAUUGGAUGCCAAGUGAAGAUAAAAAGACAAAUAAAUUGGCAUUACUUUUGUUUCAAGUUUGUGCGUAUUUAUUUAUACUUUAUUGUGUGUGCAGAGAUUGCUAGAAAACUCAAGUCUCACCUAGCUUCUCAAAGUAAUUGGACACUCUGGAAGACAUUAUUUUCAAUAAUUACUGAACAUUAAUGUUGUCUUUCAUAUAAAAUUAUUAUUGAAGGUGUAAUUGCAGUUUUAGUUGCAACGUGACCAGAAUAAAAUUAUUGUUUUCCAGCGCAAGAUCUAGCUGCAGGCAUAGCACGCCAAACUGAAAAAUAAUGUACAAUCAAGUUCUGUUAGAUGCGAUUAGGACUAAAAAAAAGUUAAUAAACAGAUUUGUAUUGAA